ACACCCUCAAGCUCUGCUUGGUGUUGGGCGUCUGUCCCGCCUCGCGCGUGGACUCGCCCCAAAGGUAUUGGCAGCGGUCGUGCCAGCUUCUCGCGCAGCAUACGCGCUACGGAGGCGGGUCGAUCGGCGUCCACAAGCACUUUUUUCACCA
rnacentral:misc_RNA from 2 species